GCUGGAAUCUUUCCUCUCGCCGUCACCUGGCAGUUGCCAAAUCGCUAGACUAGAUAGUUUCGGCGCAUCUCCAGACUGCCUUUCGGCGCCGCCGGCCGGACCUCACAGCUCGUCUCCAUUCUUCAAGUCUUUGCCAUCCGGAAUUUGUACGCAAGCUACACUCUUACUCGAAAGGUGCCCGAGGUUUUAUGAGCAAGGCCAUCUCUGAUUCGUUGUUUCUUAGGACAGUGUCAACCAUGCAUGCAAGAAUCUCAUGAACUACUCUGCCUAGCACCUAGAAUUAAGAGUACUGUUGCUUAAAUCAUGAAUAAGUGAUCACUAGGUUGAUCAACUUGAAUUGUAGUAAAAAAACAGCACUUCCAAUUCGUGAUGAC